CACUAGGGAACGCAGGCUAAAUUCGUGCCGUCCUAGCGGCAGGCUCAAAGCGCAACGCCUGCAUGGCCCACAUCCUGCAGG
rnacentral:sRNA from 1 species